AUUGAACGCUGGCGGCAGGCCUAACACAUGCAAGUCGAGCGGAGCGGCGGACGGGUGAGUAAUGCCUAGGAAUCUGCCUGGUAGUGGGGGAUAACGUCCGGAAACGGGCGCUAAUACCGCAUACUAUCAGAUGAGCCUAGGUCGGAUUAGCUAGUUGGUAGGGGAAAGGCCUACCAAGGCGACGAUCCGUAACUGGUCUGAGAGGAUGAUCAGUCACCCUGGAACUAAGAAACGGUCCCGACUCCUACGGGAGGCAGCAGUGGGGAAUAUUGGACAAUGGGAGGAAGCCUGAUACAACCAUGCCGCGUGUGUGAAGAAGGUCUUCAGAUUGUAAAGCACUAUAAGUUGGGAGGCGUUACCAACAGGAUAAGCACCGGCUAACUUCGUGCCAGCAGCCGCGGUAAUUC
rnacentral:rRNA from 1 species